rnacentral:rRNA from 1 species
UACAGAGGGUGCAAGCGUUAAUCGGAAUUACUGGGCGUAAAGGGCGCGUAGGCGGAUAAUUAAGUUAGAUGUGAAAUCCCUGGGCUUAACCUGGGAACUGCAUUUAAUACUGGUUAUCUAGAGUAGAGUAGAGGGAAGUGGAAUUUCCGGUGUAGCGGUGAAAUGCGUAGAUAUCGGAAGGAACACCAGUGGCGAAGGCGGCUUCCUGGCCUGUUCUUGACGCUGAGGCGCGAAAGCUAGGGGAGCAAACGGG